UACGUAGGGCGCAAGCGUUGUCCGGAAUUAUUGGGCGUAAAGAGCUCGUAGGCGGUCUGUCGCGUCUGGUGUGAAAUCCCAUGGCUCAACUGUGGGCUUGCAUCGGGUACGGGCAGACUAGAGUGCUGUAGGGGUGACUGGAAUUCCUGGUGUAGCGGUGGAAUGCGCAGAUAUCAGGAGGAACACCGAUGGCGAAGGCAGGUCACGUGGACGUUACUGACGCUGGAGACGCGAAAGCGUGGGAGCAAACAGG
rnacentral:rRNA from 1 species